rnacentral:rRNA from 1 species
GUGCCAGCCGCCGCGGUAAUACGUAGGGGGCAAGCGUUGUCCGGAAUCAUUGGGCGUAAAGCGCGUGUAGGCGGCUCGAUAAGUCCGCUGUGAAAGUCCGGGGCUCAACCCCGGGAUGCCGGUGGAUACUGUCGGGCUAGAGUCCGGAAGAGGCGAGUGGAAUUCCUGGUGUAGCGGUGAAAUGCGCAGAUAUCAGGAGGAACACCAAUUGCGAAGGCAGCUCGCUGGGACGGUACUGACGCUGAGACGCGAAAGCGUGGGGAGCAAACAGGAUUAGAUACCCCCGUAGUCC